rnacentral:rRNA from 1 species
GACGAACGCUGGCGGCGUGCUUAACACAUGCAAGUCGAACGGAAAGGCCCUUCGGGGUACUCGAGUGGCGAACGGGUGAGUAACACGUGGGUGAUCUGCCCUGCACUUUGGGAUAAGCCUGGGAAACUGGGUCUAAUACCGAAUAGGACCACGCGCUUCAUGGUGUGUGGUGGCAAGCUUUUGCGGUGUGGGAUGGGCCCGCGGCCUAUCAGCUUGUUGGUGGGGUAAUGGCCUACCAAGGCGACGACUGGUAGCCGGCCUGAGAGGGUGACCGGCCACACUGGGACUGAGAGACGGCCCAGACGCCUACGGGAGGCAGCAGUGGGGAAUAUUGCACAAUGGGGGCAAGCCUGAUGCAGCGACGCCGCGUGAGGGAUGACGGCCUUCGGGGUGUAAACCUCUUUCAAUAGGGACGAAGCGAAAGUGACGGUACCUAUAGAAGAAGCACCGGCCAACUACGUG